rnacentral:rRNA from 1 species
AGCGAACGCUGGCGGCAGGCCUAACACAUGCAAGUCGAACGAAGUCUUCGGACUUAGUGGCGGACGGGUGAGUAACACGUGGGAACGUGCCUUUAGGUUCGGAAUAACUCAGGGAAACUUGUGCUAAUACCGAAUGUGCCCUUCGGGGGAAAGAUUUAUCGCCUUUAGAGCGGCCCGCGUCUGAUUAGCUAGUUGGUGAGGUAAAGGCUCACCAAGGCGACGAUCAGUAGCUGGUCUGAGAGGAUGACCAGCCACAUUGGGACUGAGACACGGCCCAAACUCCUACGCGAGGCAGCAGUGGGGAAUCUUGCGCAAUGGGCGAAAGCCUGACGCAGCCAUGCCGCGUGGAUGAUGAAGGUCUUAGGAUUGUAAAAUCCUUUCACCGGUGAAGAUAAUGACUGUAGCCGGAGAAGAAGCCCCGGCUAACUUCGUGCCAGCAGCCGCGGUAAGAC